rnacentral:lncRNA from 1 species
CUCUUGACAAAUACUAUUGUUCUUCUCUCAGGGGUCUAGAGUAGCAGUACUGAAAUUUCUUAUGGGGUGCUCGAUAGAGGGGCUGUGGGCUUCACUUGCUUUCGUAGGAUGUGGCUUGCUAGUUGGUGUGGGAUGGGGGCCUUGGGAUCCAGUCCUUGCUAAUCAAGAGAGAGACUAUAAUUUUUGAAUAUACAGCUAGAUUCCUCAUCCAGCCUAAUUAUUUGUAGAGCAGGGUGAUGAGGGCUCAU